ACGUUAGCGGCGGACGGGUGAGUAACACGUGGGUAACCUACCUAUAAGACUGGGAUAACUCCGGGAAACCGGGGCUAAUACCGGAUAACACAUGAAACCGCAUGGUUUCAUGAUGAAAGACGGUUUUGCUGUCACUUAUAGAUGGACCCGCGGCGUAUUAGCUAGUUGGUAAGGUAACGGCUUACCAAGGCAACGAUACGUAGCCACCUGAGAGGGUGAUCGGCCACACUGGAACUGAGACACGGUCCAG
rnacentral:rRNA from 1 species